AACAAGAGUUUAUGACGUUUCUCAACAGUAUCUAUCUCUUCACUUUCUCAUCUUUUGUUUUCAUAAACAAAAGACAUAGGUGUUCUAUUAAGAGAGGUACAGUACAGCACAUUCAAAUAUUUCCAGAACCAUGUAAUGAAUAUUUUUGAUUGAAAUUUGGUUAAUGUUUUAACUGCCACGGUUACUUGAGGAUGGCACAUACAUCUCCUCCACAAUCUUUUGAAAUCAUCUAGCAUGCGUAAGCCAUAUGAGAAUCGCCUCUCUCAAUAUUGCACGGAGUGAACUUUUUUCAUCAACAGUAUUUAGUCAAGUAUUGUGACUUUGGGAGGACUGUGAUGUUUCCUUUUCCUGUAUAUAAACUUGCUGUCCCUGACUUAAGAUGGAAUUGCUCAGAGCUACUCAAAGGGCUGAUUGUGGAUUGAUUGCAUCAGCAUCUGCUGCUGCUCAUAGAGAAUCAGACAACUACAUCAAUGAUGCAGUCCAUCGGAAGUGAGAUGUUGUUUAUAUCGAUAUCC
rnacentral:sRNA from 1 species